AUCCAGCUGACGAAUCGCAAGCUGAACGAAACGCACGUCCUGGAU
rnacentral:hammerhead_ribozyme from 1 species